UAAUACGUAGGGGGCGAGCGUUGUCCGGAUUCAUUGGGCGUAAAGAGCUCGUAGGCGGCUUGAUAAGUCGGGUGUGAAACCCUCAGGCUCAACCUGGGGUCGCCACUCGAUACUGUCAUGGCUAGAGUCCGGUAGGGGACCACGGAAUUCCUGGUGUAGCGGUGAAAUGCGCAGAUAUCAGGAGGAACACCGGUGGCGAAGGCGGUGGUCUGGGCCGGCACUGACGCUGAGGAGCGAAAGCGUGGGUAGCAAACAGGAUUAGAUACCCUGGUAGUCCACGCCGUAAACGUUGGGCACUAGGUGUGGGGCCUCAUCAACGGGUUCCGUGCCGCAGCUAACGCAUUAAGUGCCCCGCCUGGGGAGUACGGCCGCAAGGCUAAAACUCAAAGGAAUUGACGGA
rnacentral:rRNA from 1 species